rnacentral:tRNA from 1 species
GGGCGGUUAGCUCAGAGGGAGAGCGCUACCCUCACACGGUAGAGGCCACUGGUUCGAUCCCAGUACCGCCCACCA